rnacentral:rRNA from 1 species
GACGAACGCUGGCGGCGUGCUUAACACAUGCAAGUCGAACGAUGAACCCGGAGCUUGCUCCGGUGGAUUAGUGGCGAACGGGUGAGUAACACGUGAGUAACCUGCCCUUGACUCUGGGAUAACUGCGGGAAACUGUAGCUAAUACCGGAUACGACCCUCGGCGGCAUCGCCAGGGGGUGGAAAGAAUUUCGGCCAAGGAUGGACUCGCGGCCGAUCAGCUAGUUGGUGAGGUAGCGGCUCACCAAGGCGACGACGGGUAGCCGGCCUGAGAGGGUGACCGGCCACACUGGGACUUGGCAUCGGCCCAGACUCCUACGGGAGGCAGCAGUGGUGAAUAUUGCACAAUGGGCGCAAGCCUGAUGCAGCAACGCCGCGUGAGGGAUGACGGCCUUCGGGUUGUAAACCUCUUUUAGUAGGGAAGAAGCGAAAGUGACGGUACCUGCAGAAAAAGCACCGGCUAACUACGUGCCAGCCGCCGCCGUAA